rnacentral:SRP_RNA from 1 species
GCUAGGCGUGGUGGCACACGCCUGUAAUCCCAGCUACUUGGGAGGCUGAGGCAGGAGAAUUGCUUGAACCCAGGAGGCAGAAGUUGCAGUGAGCCGAGAUGCUGCCACUGCACUCCAGCCUGGGUGACAGAGCAAGACUCUAUCUCAA